rnacentral:rRNA from 1 species
GAGAGUAGGAGCGAAAGACUAAUCAAACCCCGUGAUAGCUGGUUCUCUCCGAAAUAGCUUGAGGGCUAGCGUUGGAUAAGUACUCCGUGGAGGUAGAGCACUGGAUGGCUUAGGGUCCCCACCAGGAUACCAAAACCAAUCAAACUCCGAAUUCCUCGGAUCUCAGUAACCCGGCAGUCAGGCUGUGGGGGAUAAGCUUCAUAGCCGAAAGGGCAACAGCCCAGAUCACCAGCUAAGGUGCCUAAAUACCGUUUAGUGGAAAGGAUGUGACGUUGCUUUGACAGUGAGGAUGUUGGCUUAGAGGCAGCCACCAUUUAAACAGUGCGUAACAGCUGACUCAUCGAGCGAUGUCGCGCCGAAAAUGAUUGGCGAUAAGCGGUAUACCGAAGCUGUGAAUUCCCGGACGGUUCGCCGGCCGGGAGUGGUAGGAGAGCGUAAUCAAUGCCGCGAAGCCGGACUGUAAAGGAAGGUGGAGCGUUGAUUAGUGAGAAUGCAGACAUGAGUAGCGAUAAACCAGAUGAGAAUUCUGGUCGCCGUAAACCCAAGGUUUCCUGGGCUAGGUUCGUCCUCCCAGGGUUAGUCGGGAGCUAAGGCGAGGCCGUAAGGCGUAGUCGAUGCACAGCAGAUUAAUAUUCCUGCACCGGCGCGGGUUAAGGCCAGGGAUGACGCAGAGAGAAAGGUGACUAGGUCAUUGAAAGACGGAGCUUAGCCUUCGGGCGAAGCGUAUCACCGGACGAUCUGCCGAGAAAAGCCCCUGGCUGUUCCCCGUGCCGCCCGUACCGUAAACCGACACAGGUGGGUGGGUCGAGUAGACCAAGGCGCGCGAGAGAAACCUCUCUAAGGAACUCGGCACAUUAGCCCCGUAACUUCGGGAGAAGGGGUGCCUGAAACCUUUGCAGCAAUGUGAGGGUCUAGGGUCUCAGUAAAUUGCGCUUAGCGACUGUUUAACAAAAACACAGCACUCUGCCAAGUCGUGAAGACGACGUAUAGGGUGUGACACGUGACCAAUGCGGAAAGAUCAAGGUAAGCCGUUAGCUCGCAAGGGCGAAGCGGUGAGCCCAAGUCCCCGUGAAUGUCGGCCGUAACUAUAACGGUCCUAAGGUAGCGAAAUUCCUUGUCGGGUAAGUUCCGACCUGCACGAAUCGUGUAACGACUGAGCGACUGUCUCGGAGAGGAUCUCGGCGAAAUUGUAACGGCGGUGAAGAUGCCGCCUGCCCGCAGUAGGACGGAAAGACCCUAUGCACCUUUACUGUAAGCUGGUAUUGGGUUCUGGUUAAUGAUGCGUAGCGUAGGUGGGAGACGUUGAAACCGCGGCUUCGGUCGCGGUCGAGUCGCAAUGUGAAACACCACUCUUGAUUAAUUAGGAUUCUAACCUCAUGCUGUUAGCCAGCUGAGGGACAUUGCCUGCGGGUCAGUUUGACUGGGGCGGUUUCCUCCCAAAGAGUAACGGAGGAGCGCGAAGCUUGGUUCAGCAUGGUUGGCAACCGUGUGACGAGGGUAUGGCUAGAAGCCGGGUUGACUGCGAGACCUACAGGUCGAGCAGGUGCGAAAGCAGGCCCAAAUGAUCCGAUGGUUGAAUGUGGAAUUGCCAUCGCUCAACGGACAAAAGGUACGCUAGGGAUAACAGGCUUAUCGGGUCCAAGAGUUCACAUCGACGACCCGGUUUGGCACC